CAUCAAGCUGGGGCAAUCUCUUCUACAUAUCAUCAGUGUUUGAAAUUCCGCUACAAAGGAAGCAUCGUUACGAUCCAAGCCGACAACGAAGUCAGACUAUCUGCUGAGCAGGAGACUGUAAGCUAUCGCCCUUCCCUCGAACUCGAAGAGGACAUGCUUUCUAUCGAGAAAGAAGAUAGGCUAUGAAAUAGGCAAUGAAAAUUGUUCACGUUCAGAAACCCGCGAGUGCGAAGCUUAACUAAGAAGGGCACCGGGACGUUCGGGCUUAGCAUUAGGAAAAGAUGGUCGAAUAAUCUUUUUAUUGUCUCUGCAUCAAUCCGAUUUCUCCCUCUAUUAGUCCCUCCAGG
rnacentral:misc_RNA from 1 species